AAUCAACGCUGGCGGCGUGCCUCAGACAUGCAAGUCGAACGAUUAAAGCUCUCUUCGGAGAGUGCAUAAAGUGGCGCACGGGUGAGUAACACGUAAGUAAUCUACCCUCGAGUGGGGAAUAACGUUCGGAAACGGACGCUAACACCGCAUAAUGCAGCGGCACCGCAAGGUGACAGUUGUUAAAGAUUUAUCGCUUGAGGAGGAGCUUGCGGCAGAUUAGCUAGUUGGUAAGGUAAUGGCUUACCAAGGCUACGAUCUGUAACCGGUCUUAGAGGACGGUCGGUCACACUGACACUGAAUAACGGGUCAGACUCCUACGGGAGGCAGCAGUCGGGAAUUUUGGGCAAUGGGCGAAAGCCUGACCCAGCAACGCCGCGUGAAGGAUGAAGUAUUUCGGUAUGUAAACUUCGAAAGAAUAGGAAGAAUUAAUGACGGUACUAUUUAUAAGGUCCGGCUAACUACGUGCCAGCCGCCGCCGUAA
rnacentral:rRNA from 1 species